rnacentral:rRNA from 1 species
GUGCGGGUCCUUUGGGCCCAACCUCCCAUCCGUGUCUAUUGUACCCUGUUGCUUCGGCGGGCCCGCCGCUUGUCGGCCGCCGGGGGGGCGCCUCUGCCCCCCGGGCCCGUGCCCGCCGGAGACCCCAACACGAACACUGUCUGAAAGCGUGCAGUCUGAGUUGAUUGAAUGCAAUCAGUUAAAACUUUCAACAAUGGAUCUCUUGGUUCCGGCAUCGAUGAAGAACGCAGCGAAAUGCGAUAACUAAUGUGAAUUGCAGAAUUCAGUGAAUCAUCGAGUCUUUGAACGCACAUUGCGCCCCCUGGUAUUCCGGGGGGCAUGCCUGUCCGAGCGUCAUUGCUGCCCUCAAGCCCGGCUUGUGUGUUGGGUCGCCGUCCCCCUCUCCGGGGGGACGGGCCCGAAAGGCAGCGGCGGCACCGCGUCCGAUCCUCGAGCGUAUGGGGCUUUGUCACAUGCUCUGUAGGAUUGGCCGGCGCCUGCCGACGUUUUCCAACCAUUCUUUCCAGGUUGACCUCGGAUCAGGUA